CAGAGCCGAGCCCGGUGUGCGAGGCCAGGGAGAUCUUCUCAAAGGCGAUCCCUGAGCCAAGGGCAAGCGCCAGACUGUGCAGGAGACGGUGGGCUCCCAAACGACUGCUGGGGGUUCAAAUUCCAGCUCUGCCUUCUCUGCCCCUGUGACCUCACUGCUGGCUGAUCUGGCAAUCUGCGCCCCGGCUUCCUAGUCCUGGAAAUGGGUAUAAUAAUGCCUGCAUUGCGGGCUAUCUGUGGAAGAAGCGGCUGGCCUCUGCCAGGGGCUCACACGUACUCUGAAUGCAGGACAGAGCUAUUCAGAGCUCCGCCGUUUCUCUGGCCUGAGCAGACACAGACACAAACUUGCUGUUGCCGAUUUAAUGAAAGACCUACUGUGUGCCCGGGGCUUUCCCAAGCUCUCUGCUAUGGGCUGGGAGAGCAGUGGAAGAUGGCCCAAGUGCUUGAGACCCAUGUGGGAGACCGAGAAGAAGCUCCUGGCUCCUGGCUUCCGGCUGGCCCAGCCUUGGCUGUUCUGGCCAUUUGGAACGUGAACCAGCAGACCAAAGAUCUCUUUCCUACCUCCCACGCCUUUCAAAUAAAUAAAAUAAAUCUUUUAAAAAGAAAGAA